rnacentral:rRNA from 1 species
UACGUAGGGUGCGAGCGUUGUCCGGAAUUAUUGGGCGUAAAGGGCUCGUAGGCGGUCUGUCACGUCGGGAGUGAAAACACGGGGCUUAACCCCGUGCCUGCUUCCGAUACGGGCAGACUAGAGGUAUGCAGGGGAGAACGGAAUUCCGGGUGGAGUGGUGAAAUGCGUAGAGAUCCGGAGGAACACCAAAGGCGAAGGCAGUGUCCUGGGGAGUACCUGACGCUCAGGUGCGAAAGCCAGGGGAGCGAACGGG